GUAGGAUAGGUGGGAGCCUUUGAAGCAAGUACGCCAGUAUUUGUGGAGGCAAUCUUGAAAUACCACCCUUGUAUGCUUGAUGUUCUAACGUUGGCCCCUUAUCGGGGUUACGGACAGUGCCUGGUGGGUAGUUUGACUGGGGCGGUCUCCUCCCAAAGAGUAACGGAGGAGCACGAAGGUGGGCUAAACACGGUUGGACAUCGUGUGGUUAGUGCAAUGGCAUAAGCCCGCUUAACUGCGAGAAUGACGGUUCGAGCAGGUACGAAAGUAGGUCAUAGUGAUCCGGUGGUUCUGUAUGGAAGGGCCAUCGCUCAACGGAUAAAAGGUACUCCGGGGAUAACAGGCUGAUACCGCCCAAGAGUUCAUAUCGACGGCGGUGUUUGGCACCUCGAUGUCGGCUCAUCACAUCCUGGGGCUGAAGUCGGUCCCAAGGGUAUGGCUGUUCGCCAUUUAAAGUGGUACGCGAGCUGGGUUUAGAACGUCGUGAGACAGUUCGGUCCCUAUCUGCCGUGGGCGUUGGAAAAUUGAAAGGGGCUGCUCCUAGUACGAGAGGACCGGAGUGGACGAACCUCUGGUGUUCGGGUUGUCACGCCAGUGGCAUUGCCCGGUAGCUAAGUUCGGAAUCGAUAAGCGCUGAAAGCAUCUAAGCGCGAAGCGAGCCUUGAGAUGAGUUUUCCCUGGCACUUUAAGUGCCCUAAAGGGUUGUUCGAGACUAGAACGUUGAUAGGCAGGGUGUGUAAGCGCUGUGAGGCGUUGAGCUAACCUGUACUAAUUGCCCGUGAGGCUUAACCAUACAACACCCAAGGGGUUUUGUA
rnacentral:rRNA from 1 species